CCUACGGGAGGCAGCAGUAAGGAAUAUUGGUCAAUGGACGCAAGUCUGAACCAGCCAUGCCGCGUGAAGGAUGAAGGUCCUCUGGAUUGUAAACUUCUUUUAUAGGGGAAGAAACCCAAGAAUUCUUUUUUGGUUGACGGUACCUUAGGAAUAAGCACCGGCUAACUCCGUGCCAGCAGCCGCGGUAAUACGGAGGGUGCAAGCGUUAUCCGGAUUCACUGGGUUUAAAGGGUGCGUAGGUGGGCUUGUAAGUCAGUGGUGAAAUCUCUGAGCUUAACUCAGAAACUGCCAUUGAUACUAUAGGUCUUGAAUUAUCUGGAGGUCAGCGGAAUAUGUCAUGUAGCGGUGAAAUGCUUAGAUAUGACAUAGAACACCAAUUGCGAAGGCAGCUGGCUACAGGUAAAUUGACACUGAGGCACGAAAGCGUGGGGAUCAAACAG
rnacentral:rRNA from 1 species